GAACGGCGCAGUCUGGGGGCGGGCGGCGGAGCGAUCGCGUUGCUGAGGCGGAGCCGCCGGCGGGAAGCGCUUCCGGAGGAUCUGCGCUGUGGACUUCGCUUUUUUGUGAAUCAGCCGCUGGCAGCAAGCGCCGUCCCGAGGAUCUGCGCGAUAAAAGUAAAGUUUUAAACCUUUAAUUCGCAUUUUUCUAAUCAGGUUUCCCCUUCCAAUGACUCUCUUUGCAUCUUUAAUUAUUAAUUCCAUCUUUUAAUGAGUUUUCGGAAGUUUUUGGCCAAAUUUGAGGGGUUUUACCUCAGGAUUUGCCCCCCCCCGCCACGUGUUUUUCUCCCCUUUACUUUUACAGAAAAGAAAUAAAAUAAAAAACUAUAAAGUAUUUUUUAACGAGUUUUACGUCCUAAUUGUUGCUUUUAAUAGAUUUUUUUUUUCCUUUUUUUACAAUUUUUUUUUUUUUUAAUUCUUUUUUUCCCUGUCCGCGCGGGGGGAAAUCGCACCACCAAAAUACCCGAUUUUAUCUCUUUAUUUCUUAUUUUUAUUUUUCCUGCCUUCCACUCUUUCCAGGUUUUGCUCUUUAAAUUUCAAAUCUUUAUUUUGUUGGGGUUUUUUUUCCCUUGUUUUUAAUACUUUUAUUUUAUUUUAUUUUUUGGAAUAAAAACUUGUUUCACUGCGGAAUUCACGGCGGGUUUUGUGAGGGGAAGGUUAAAAAUUGUGGGUUUUUUAGAUAGUUGUUUAUUAAAAUAUAUAAAUAUUAUAUCUAUACAUAUCAAUAACAAUAUAUUUAAAUAAAAAGUUGUUUGUUUUUUUAAAUAAAAACGCGGCCGCUUUGGUGUCGAUUGGAACUGCGGGGUGAGGGGAAAGUUAAAAGUUAUUGAUUUAAAUGGUUUUUUAAAAAUAAAAAUAAAAUAAAAACCCGG